rnacentral:rRNA from 1 species
AGUUCGGACUGGAGUCUGCAACCCGACUCCACGAAGUUGGAUUCGCUAGUAAUCGCGCAUCAGCCAUGGCGCGGUGAAUACGUUCCCGGGCCUUGUACACACCGCCCGUCAAGCCAUGGGAGCCGGGGGCGCCUGAAGUCCGGGACCGCGAGGACCGGCCUAGGGCGAAACUGGUGACUGGGGCUAAGUCGUAACAAGGUACC